rnacentral:ncRNA from 2 species
GCGAAAGCAUUUGCCAAG